AACUUUCAACAACGGAUCUCUUGGUUCUCGCAUCGAUGAAGAACGCAGCGAAAUGCGAUAAGUAAUGUGAAUUGCAGAAUUUAGUGAAUCAUCGAGUUUUUGAACGCACAUUGCGCCCCUUGUAACUGAUGGGCAUGCCUGUUCGAGCGUCAUUUAAACCCUCAGCGCCAGCUGGUGUUGGGCCACGCGAUCGCGGGCCCGAAAUUCAGAGGCGACGUGCCAACCGACAGUGGACAAGAGUCUGGCUCCGGUUGCAACACGUCCGCCAAAGAUCAUACAUUUUUGACCUCGGAUCAGGUAGGAAUACCCGCUGAACUUAAGCAUAUCAAUAAGCGGAGGCU
rnacentral:misc_RNA from 1 species